GUGCUUUACUUUAGCAGCACACAUACGAAAAUUGAAAGAGUACAGAGCAGAUUGGCAUGGACAUUGUACAAGGAUGGCAGCAAGCAGGGAUGCACGGUGUGGCCUUUG
rnacentral:snRNA from 1 species